rnacentral:tRNA from 1 species
AGACCUAUCGUACAAUGGUUCAGUACGUCUGACUUUGACUCAGAAAAUGUUGGUUCGACUCCAGCUAGGUCUACAA